AAAUUGAAGAGUUUGAUCAUGGCUCAGAUUGAACGCUGGCGGCAGGCCUAACACAUGCAAGUCGAGCGGUAGCACAGAGAGCUUGCUCUCGGGUGACGAGCGGCGGACGGGUGAGUAAUGUCUGGGAAACUGCCUGAUGGAGGGGGAUAACUACUGGAAACGGUAGCUAAUACCGCAUAACGUCGCAAGACCAAAGUGGGGGACCUUCGGGCCUCAUGCCAUCAGAUGUGCCCAGAUGGGAUUAGCUAGUAGGUGGGGUAAUGGCUCACCUAGGCGACGAUCCCUAGCUGGUCUGAGAGGAUGACCAGCCACACUGGAACUGAGACACGGUCCAGACUCCUACGGGAGGCAGCAGUGGGGAAUAUUGCACAAUGGGCGCAAGCCUGAUGCAGCCAUGCCGCGUGUAUGAAGAAGGCCUUCGGGUUGUAAAGUACUUUCAGCGAGGAGGAAGGCAUUAAGGUUAAUAACCUUGGUGAUUGACGUUACUCGCAGAAGAAGCACCGGCUAACUCCGUGCCAGCAGCCGCGGUAAUACGGAGGGUGCAAGCGUUAAUCGGAAUUACUGGGCGUAAAGCGCACGCAGGCGGUCUGUCAAGUCGGAUGUGAAAUCCCCGGGCUCAACCUGGGAACUGCAUUCGAAACUGGCAGGCUAGAGUCUUGUAGAGGGGGGUAGAAUUCCAGGUGUAGCGGUGAAAUGCGUAGAGAUCUGGAGGAAUACCGGUGGCGAAGGCGGCCCCCUGGACAAAGACUGACGCUCAGGUGCGAAAGCGUGGGGAGCAAACAGGAUUAGAUACCCUGGUAGUCCACGCCGUAAACGAUGUCGACUUGGAGGUUGUGCCCUUGAGGCGUGGCUUCCGGAGCUAACGCGUUAAGUCGACCGCCUGGGGAGUACGGCCGCAAGGUUAAAACUCAAAUGAAUUGACGGGGGCCCGCACAAGCGGUGGAGCAUGUGGUUUAAUUCGAUGCAACGCGAAGAACCUUACCUACUCUUGACAUCCAGAGAACUUAGCAGAGAUGCUUUGGUGCCUUCGGGAACUCUGAGACAGGUGCUGCAUGGCUGUCGUCAGCUCGUGUUGUGAAAUGUUGGGUUAAGUCCCGCAACGAGCGCAACCCUUAUCCUUUGUUGCCAGCGAUUCGGUCGGGAACUCAAAGGAGACUGCCAGUGAUAAACUGGAGGAAGGUGGGGAUGACGUCAAGUCAUCAUGGCCCUUACGAGUAGGGCUACACACGUGCUACAAUGGCAUAUACAAAGAGAAGCGACCUCGCGAGAGCAAGCGGACCUCAUAAAGUAUGUCGUAGUCCGGAUUGGAGUCUGCAACUCGACUCCAUGAAGUCGGAAUCGCUAGUAAUCGUAGAUCAGAAUGCUACGGUGAAUACGUUCCCGGGCCUUGUACACACCGCCCGUCACACCAUGGGAGUGGGUUGCAAAAGAAGUAGGUAGCUUAACCUUCGGGAGGGCGCUUACCACUUUGUGAUUCAUGACUGGGGUGAAGUCGUAACAAGGUAACCGUAGGGGAACCUGCGGUUGGAUCACCUCCUUA
rnacentral:rRNA from 1 species